rnacentral:tRNA from 2 species
GCCCUAUUAACUCAGCGGUUAGAGUGUGUGGCUUAUAAGUUCCAUUGGGCGGCGCGCCCUUGGGUUUACAACAGUGUCGGGAGUUCGAAUCUCUCAUAGGGCA